rnacentral:tRNA from 1 species
GCGCCCGUAGCUCAGUGGAUAGAGCGUUGGUCUCCGAAGCCGAAGGUCGCUGGUUCGAUCCCAGCCGGGCGCACCC